CGUAGGGUGCGAGCGUUAAUCGGAAUUACUGGGCGUAAAGCGUGCGCAGGCGGUUAUGUAAGACAGAUGUGAAAUCCCCCGGGCUCAACCUGGGACCUGCAUUUGUGACUGCAUAGCUAGAGUACGGUAGAGGGGGAUGGAAUUCCGCGUGUAGCAGUGAAAUGCGUAGAUAUGCGGAGGAACACCGAUGGCGAAGGCAAUCCCCUGGACCUGUACUGACGCUCAUGCACGAAAGCGUGGGGAGCAAACAGGAUUAGAUACCCUGGUAGUCCACGCCCUAAACGAUGUCAACUGGUUGUUGGGUCUUCACUGACUCAGUAACGAAGCUAACGCGUGAAGUUGACCGCCUGGGGAGUACGGCCGCAAGGUUG
rnacentral:rRNA from 1 species